rnacentral:rRNA from 1 species
UGGUGACAAUAGAGCUAUAGAACCACCUGAACCCAUCUCGAACUCAGAAGUGAAAUGUAGCAUCGCCGAUGGUAGUGUGGGAGUUCCCAUGUGAGAGUAGGACAUCGCC